rnacentral:lncRNA from 1 species
UGUCUGAACUUAGGUUUUACCUUUUGAUUUUGUCUGUGUAACUUUGAAAGUGUGGCAUUCCAACUUACUUGAUUCCAGUGUCAUUUACAAGUCUUACCAGAACAAACGCGUUCAUCAUGUAAUAAAUCAAAGGCUGCUAUCUUUAAUUAGCUUUUGCAUAUAUUUAAAAAAAAAAUCAAUAUAUUUUGACAAACUAACAUGGCAUCAAAUUAGGUA